rnacentral:rRNA from 1 species
GACGAACGCUGGCGGCGUGCUUAACACAUGCAAGUCGAACGGAAAGGCCCUGCUUGCAGGGUACUCGAGUGGCGAACGGGUGAGUAACACGUGGGUGAUCUGCCCUGCACUUCGGGAUAAGCCUGGGAAACUGGGUCUAAUACCGGACAGGAGCCAUAUUUAGUGUGAUGGUUGGAAAGUUUUAUCGGUGUUGGAUGAGCUCGCGGCCUAUCAGCUUGUUGGUGGGGUAAUGGCCUACCAAGGCGGCGGCGGGUAGCCGGCCUGAGAGGGUGGACGGCGACAUUGGGACUGAGAUACGGCCCAGACUCCUACGGGAGGCAGCAGUGGGGAAUAUUGCACAAGGGGCGCAAGCCUGAUGCAGCGGCGCCGCGUGGGGGAUGACGGUCUUCGGGUUGUAAACUCCUUUCGCUAGGGACGAAGCUUUUUGUGACGGUACCUAGAUAAGAAGCACCGGCUAACUACGUG